UACAGGGGGGGCAAGCGUUGUUCGGAUUUACUGGGCGUAAAGCGCACGUAGGCGGGUUGUUAAGUCAGGGGUGAAAUCCUGGAGCUCAACUCCAGAACUGCCUUUGAUACUGGAGAGCUUGAGUCCGGAAGAGGUGAGUGGAACUCCGAGUGUAGAGGUGAAAUUCGUAGAUAUUCGGAAGAACACCAGUGGCGAAGGCGGCUCACUGGUCCGGUACUGACGCUGAGGUGCGAAAGCGUGGGGAGCAAACAGG
rnacentral:rRNA from 1 species